AACUUUCCCGUAAUGGGCUUUUCUUUUCUUUUUUUCCGUUUCUUGACGGAGAAGUGGAGCAAAAUAAAUAUAGGGUUUGACUCGAACCGUUUGAGAGGGUUAGGGCAUUACCUGAAAGUGAAAGGCUGAAAGGGGAUCGUGAAGACAAAACAAGCGCGAGGCAAGAGAGCAAGAUGCCUAGAACUACACGCGGCUCGGAACAACGAAGGCUCCAGUGUCUACAAGACAUCCAAAAAUUGCAAGAGGAGAUCAAGUUGUUACAGAUUUCAAACGAGAAACUGAAUGGUGUCGGUCUCGACGAUAUGAGCUUCACCGAGCUGGCUUCACUUGGAAGUAUGUUGGAUGAGGGCUUCCGCAUUGUGGACGAACAACUAGACAAUGCACACGAGGAAAUAACAACCAAGCAGCUUUUUGAGUACGAUCUUAUGGGGGGACCGGACUGGACUCAAAGAAUAGAGAAGAAGAUUUGGCCUACCAAUCCCUUCUAGCGGGGAGAAGAGUAGCUUUGAGGAACAAGGCUAGAGAAUUCCGCCUCAGCCCUCCAGAAACCCAACCUUGGCGUAGCGAUGACCCUGAAAGAUUGAAGUUGGACAUCGACUCUCUGGAGAUGGAGAAAGAGAGACUAUCGACUCUCUGGAGAUGGAGAAAGAGAGACUACGUCUUUUCAACCAGUAUGAGAAUGCUUGGUAAAGAGCUUGACGGUAUGAGCUACUCCGAGCUGUUCGUGUUUAGCUUUGAGAUAUCGGGUGCUAUCAUGAAAGUUGUGUCGAUGAAGAAGAUAAAACGUGACGAAGAGAUGGGGAAGACAAAACGUCCAAGGCCGUCGGUCAACGAGCCAAUCUCCCCGGGACAGAUAUGAUGGUGGUGGCAGGUUCUCUUCGCUCGUGACAACACUAAGAGAUUGGAUAUAGUUUUAUGGUUCGUUCUGGCACUUUGUGUUAUGUCUCUAUGGUGAUAUGUUUAAACUAAAGACUUAUGGUUUUGCUAGAUUCUAUAUAAAACCCAUGAGCAAAGGAUGAAAAUGACAAUACCAUAUCUCCAUUGAAUUUUCGCCGUAAUACCAUAAAGAUAUAUUAGAAGGUACUUCAAAAAGUCCAAGCGCAUUUCUUCCAA